CCCUUAGAUGUCCUGGGCCGCACGCGCGUUACACUGAUGCAUUCAACGAGCAUAUAACCUUGGCCGAGAGGCCUGGGCAAUCUUGUUAACGUGCAUCGUGAUAGGGAUAGAUUAUUGAAAUUAUUAAUCUUGAACGAGGAAUUCCUAGUAAACGCAGAUCAUCAAUCUGCAUUGAUUACGUCCCUGCCCUUUGUACACACCGCCCGUCGCACCUACCGAUUGGAUGGUCCGGUGAAGCCUCGGGAUUGUGGUUCUUGCCGCUUUAUUGUGGCGUGACCGCGAGAACUUGUCUAAACCUUAUCAUCUAGAGGAAGGUGAAGUCGUAACA
rnacentral:rRNA from 1 species